UGGUGCCAGCAGCCGCGGUAAUUCCAGCUCCAAUAGCGUAUAUUAAAGUUGUUGCAGUUAAAAAGCUCGUAGUUGAAUUUCGGGAUUAGUACGUUGGUCGUGCCUUAGGUACGUACUGGUGUUACUGGUUCCUACCUUCUGACGAACCAUCAUGUCAUUAAUUUGGUGUGGCGGGGAAUCAGGACUGUUACUUUGAAAAAAUUAGAGUGUUUAAAGCAGGCUCGCGCUUGAAUACAUUAGCAUGGAAUAAUGAAAUAGGACGUUGACCCUAUUUUGUUGGUUUCUAGGAUUGACGUAAUGAUUAAUAGGGAUAGUUGGGGGCAUUAGUAUUCAAUUGUCAGAGGUGAAAUUCUUGGAUUUAUUGAAGACUAACUACUGCGAAAGCAUUUGCCAAGGAUGUUUUCAUUAAUCAAGAACGAAAGUUAGGGGAUCGAAGACGAUCAGAUACCGUCGUAGUCUUAACCAUAAACUAUGCCGACUAGGGAUCGGAUGAUGUUAAUUUUUUAAUGACUCAUUCGGCGCC
rnacentral:rRNA from 1 species